GAUGAAGAACGUAGCGAAAUGCGAUACGUAAUGUGAAUUGCAGAAUUCCGUGAAUCAUCGAAUCUUUGAACGCAUAUUGCGCCCUCCGGUAUUCCGGGGGGCAUGCCUGUCCGAGCGUCAUUGCAACCCUCAAGCGCGGCUUGUGUGUUGGGCCUUCGUCCCCCGUGGACGGACCCAAAAGGCAGUGGCGGUGCCGCGGUCCGGUGCCCGAGCGUAUGGGUUUUUUUUGACACCCGCUCCGGGGGCCCGGCCGGCGCUGGCCGAUCGAACGAUUUCUUCUCAGGUUGACCUCGGAUCAGGUAGGGAUACCCGCUGAACUUAAGCAUAUCAAUAAGGCGGAGGA
rnacentral:misc_RNA from 1 species